rnacentral:tRNA from 1 species
UGGUGCAUCCUACAGGAUUCGAACCUGUAACCAAUAGCUUAGAAGGCUACUGCUCUAUCCAUUGAGCUAAGGAUGC